rnacentral:rRNA from 1 species
AGGACGAACGCUGGCGGCGUGCUUAACACAUGCAAGUGGAGCGACGAACCAGGGCUUGCCCUGGGGCAGAGCCGCGAACGGGUGAGUAACACGUGGGUUACCUGCCUUGAUGACCGGGACAACCCGAGGAAACUCGGGCUAAUACCGGAUGUGCCCGCAAGGGGAAAGGAAGCUUCGGCCUCCGCAUCAAGAUGGGCCCGCGGCCCAUUAGCUUGUUGGUGAGGUAACGGCUCACCAAGGCUUCGAUGGGUAGCUGGUCUGAGAGGACGAUCAGCCACACUGGGACUGAGACACGGCCCAGACUCCUACGGGAGGCAGCAGUGGGGAAUCUUGCGCAAUGCGCGAAAGCGUGACGCAGCAACGCCGCGUGGGGGAAGAAGGCUUUCGGGUUGUAAACCCCUUUCAGUUGGGACGAAGCUUCUCCGGUGAAUAGCCGGCUGGAGUGACGGUACCUUCAGAAGAAGCCCCGGCUAACUACGUGCCAGAGGCCGCGGU